rnacentral:rRNA from 1 species
UACGUAGGGCGCAAGCGUUAUCCGGAAUUAUUGGGCGUAAAGAGCUCGUAGGCGGUUUGUCGCGUCUGCCGUGAAAGUCCGGGGCUCAACUCCGGAUCUGCGGUGGGUACGGGCAGACUAGAGUGAUGUAGGGGAGACUGGAAUUCCUGGUGUAGCGGUGAAAUGCGUAGAUAUCAGAAGGAACACCAGUGGCGAAGGCGGAUCUCUGGACAGCUCCUGACGCUGAGGCGCGAAGGCUAGGGGAGCAAACGGG